UACGUAGGCAGCGAGCGUUUGUUCGGAGUUACUGGGCGUAAAGGGUGCGUAGGCGGUUGUUUAAGUUUGGUGUGAAAUCUCCCGGCUCAACUGGGAGGGUGCGCCGAAUACUGAAUGACUAGAGUGCGGGAGAGGAUAGUGGAAUUCCUGGUGUAGCGGUGAAAUGCGUAGAUAUCAGGAGGAACACCGGUGGUGUAGACGGCUAUCUGGACCGUAACUGA
rnacentral:rRNA from 1 species